rnacentral:misc_RNA from 1 species
CUUUUUUUUUUUUUUUUUAAAUCAAGGUCCAACGGACUGAGUUACAACUAAUGGGCUACAUAUUAGGAAGUAGCCUCUCUCUAAAGUAAUUCUUACCAUAAAGGUGAUAAAUGUCAGAAUUAAUAGAUAAAAAAAAACUCAAACUCAAGACCUUUCACUCCUUGCAUUUUAGAAGAGAAGAAAACCAAUCAGACUAACCUUGAUUGGCAGAGAGAUUCAACUUUCUACUGUUAGUGUCCACUUCUAAACAGUCUAAGCUCUGCCACUGGACUAAGACAAUAAUUCUUUUUUUUUCUAUUUAUUUAUUCCAAAUUCAUAAAAAUAAGAGAACUGUCUAUGCAUUUCCAACGAUCAUCAUUGUAAUGUUUUGAUCGUUUGAGGAACAACUGUCUGAAAACUUAUCCAUUCCUGGAAAGACGACUGAAGUAGUCUCUAUAUCAUAGGGGUAAUGGAGAUACCUAUAUAUGUGUAAAUAUUUUUUUGUCACCACACUUGAGCCUCUCUGUGCAAGAUACUUUUGCGUCCAUCAUGAAGCUAAACUUAGUUUGCAAUACUAGUGGCUCCAUUUUCGUUCCUGAUAUGCAUGGUUUUCAUAUGGAAAUCAGAUAUUGUGUUAUUAUCAUGUCUGUCAUUACUUCUACAUAUUAUUUCAGGUGGUUGAAAAUUAUAAAGACUUUGCAUUCUCAGAAUAUGCAAGAGUGGGAAGAGCACUGGCCCUUUAUGAGAUUGGAGACAAAGAAGAGGCAAUUGCUGAGAUGGAGGAUGUUUCCAUAUCAUUGAAGGGAUAUCCUGGUAUUUUCAAGCUUUUGUAUUUCCAGGCUACGUGAAAAUAGAAAUUUUAGCUGUAAUAUUCUCUCAUUUAUUUUUUAUUCUUGUUAUUCAAAAUUUUCAUUUGAAGUUUUCCCAUCUAACUAUAUGCUUCCUGUUGUGUUUGACAGAAGUACAUGCAGCUCUUGCAGCAGCCUUAUACGUGGACAAGCAUGCCCCCCUGUUAGCAGAAAAUCAGUUCACAAUUGCAACUCUGCUUGAUCCUCACUAUACGGACCUUUCAUAUGUAAAAGAAACUAAGCAUUGGCCUCCAAGUUUGAUCAGUUCUUUGCAACGGUUCAUCACACUUUCCUAGGGAGCUGAAUUGUACAUAAGAGACUUAUUGGAAUCCAUCAAUCUCUUGUUCGUUAGUUGCCCAGAAUAAAUCACUAGGGAAUUCAAGGUUUAAGUUACAAAGCAAUUGGUUUGCUAACUUUUACUGCCGUUUUAUACCUUUAUUCUUUUACCAUUUUGUUUCUUGGAGGGGUUUGUUGAGAGAGUGAUUACUGUGGUAUGAUCCUGUCUGUCUAUAUCUUAGACUACAAAACUGUGUAUGGCAAGUUAGCUUGUAAACAUAAUGUUCAAAUUUAAAAUAGCAAUACUCUUGUUGAUGGAUUAAUG